rnacentral:pre_miRNA from 1 species
CAACUACUCCCUUUGUCCCAAAUUUCUUGUCUUAAAUUUGUCUAGAUAUGGAUGUAUCUAAUACUAAAAUGUGACUUGAUACAUCCGUAUCUAGACAAAUCUAAGACAAGAAUUUUGGGACGGAGGGAGUACUUU